rnacentral:rRNA from 1 species
AUUGAACGCUGGCGGCAGGCCUAACACAUGCAAGUCGAGCGAGCGGCGGACGGGUGAGUAAUGUAUGGGGACUGCCCGAUAGAGGGGGAUAACUACUGGAAACGGUGGCUAAUACCGCAUACUAUCGGAUAACCCAUAUGGGAUUAGCUAGUAGGGGGGGUAAAGGCUCACCUAGGCGACGAUCUCUAGCUGGUCUGAGCGGAUGAUCGGCCACGCUGGGUCUGAGACACGGCCGUGGCUCCUACGGAGGCAGCAGGGGGGAAUAUUGGGCAAUGGGCGCGAGCCUGACCCAGCCACGCGGCGUGAAGGAAGCCGUUCUUCGGAUUGUAAACUUCUUUGGACAGGGACGCGGUACCUGUAGAAUAAGCCCCGGCUAACUCCGUGCCAGCAGCCGCGGUAAUAC